CAGAGUGAACGCUGGCGGCAGGCCUAAUACAUGCAAGUCGAACGGCAGCACAGCAGAGCUUGCUCUGUGGGUGGCGAGUGGCGGACGGUGAGGAAUACAUGGGAAUCUGCCCAGUCGUGGGGAUAACGUAGGGAAACUUACGCUAAUACCGCAUGCGCCCUUCGGGGGAAAGCCGGGGACCUUCGGGCCUGGCGCGAUUGGAUGAGCCCAUGUCGGAUUAGCUAGUUGGCGGGGUAAUGGCCCACCAAGGCGACGAUCCGUAGCUGGUCUGAGAGGAUGAUCAGCCACACUGGAACUGAGACACGGUCCAGACUCCUACGGGAGGCAGCAGUAGGGAAUAUUGGACAAUGGGCGCAAGCCUGAUCCAGCCAUGCCGCGUGAGUGAAGAAGGCCCUCGGGUUGUAAAGCUCUUUUGUCCGGAAAGAAAAGCGCCGGGUUAAUACCCUGGUGUCCUGACGGUACCGGAAGAAUAAGCACCGGCUAACUUCGUG
rnacentral:rRNA from 1 species